AGCCAGCUGAGUGGGUCUUUUUAUUUUUUCGCGCGAAAGUUUAUGUGGUGAACUGUGUUGGUAAAGAUGAAGAUGUCAGUCAAUGAAAUUUGCUAUAUUUCUUGUGUCUAACCAACCCUGUACGGAUCGAACUGACGAUUCCCGAGUGCGACAAAUGUCCUGAAGUCUGCUCCUAUUAGCUAGGUAUCUAGAAAUUUCAACUUGAGUGUCAAGUGAAGACUUUGCCAGUUGCAGACGAGGGAAUUCUCGCUUCACGAUUUUCCUGGUGUGUGGAGAUACGCCGGAAUGCCGACCCACCACACCCGACAUGAUGCUUCGGCCGGAAUGCAGAAAGGAUCAUAUGUAGUGCCUUCUCAGCAUUACAUUACAUCCAUUGCGUAGCAGCAAUGUGCCAUCCUUCCGCGACUUAGGUGGAAUGACGUGCAAGUGGUGCUCCAGGGUCAACUUCAAUUUGCCGAGCACGUAUGCCGCUGGCUUGGGGUCAGCAGCUGGGUGCAAAGUCUCUGUAUACAAAUCGUGCACUGUUGUCAACAAUAUGGCAUCCUUGUCCAGCAAUUCCCGUCCUGUAGCGGCAAUGACUAUAAUAUUGGGGAAAUCACUCUCGGCACCUUCCGUGCUGUACUGAGAGAUGAUGCUUCGCAAUUGGUGGUCUGUGCUUGGUGCAUUGUCGGCAGGGAGCAUGUCAAUUUGCUUUUGGUAGCAGCGUCUACAAAAUCGACUCUCGUCUGAAAUCCUGACAUGGUGCAUGCUACGCAACACAUGCUCUGCAAGCUGAAAGUUUGGUGACUUCCACCUGUGUUCUGGUGUGAGUCUCGACUUACACCAAGCACAUGUUGCAUGGCCCACACACUGCUGGUAAUGGGUUGGGCACAGAAGCGGUUCGCACUGUUCUUUCAGACUGUGCACGCGCAGUUUGUCUGCAGGACAGUGUACGGAUGCCGCUCCGCUGCAAUCAUGUACACUGCAUGUGCUUUGGCUGACUGGUGGCUUAUUUUCUUUCCCUGCUGUGCAUACUUGGCGUCGUAGUGCUUUGACGCACUUGCAAUAAAUGCAUUGGCCUGACGUGAUGGAUGUGCAUGUGUGUAGCUUUUGCCAAUUUUGCCAAUCUGACAGCAUUGAGUCAUGUGUAAAUCGCUUGUCAGAUGGCACUUUGGAGCAAAUGCUUCAUUCUGGG